GCCGACAUGGUGAAAUUGGUAGACACGCUAUCUUGAGGGGGUAGUGACUUCGGUUGUGAGAGUUCGAGUCUCUCUGUCGGCACCA
rnacentral:tRNA from 4 species